UUUGCCUUUUUGGGGUCAGGUUGAUCUCCAUUUGGGUGGGUGGUUAUACCUGAGAGCCUGGGCUCUACCGACUUGUCUCUGGAGGCACUCAAGAGGGCUCAGUGCUGUGCCUCACUUCUUCAAGGUCAUCCAAGACUGACUGUAAGACAGUCUCGUUAUCUGGUGUUGUAACCUCAGAGCAGCCUGCAGCGUGACCAGUCACUCACUGAACAGAACAACAGCCAAUUCUGUCACCCGUCCAAGGAUUUGUAGCUUAGCCAUGACAUCUGGGGAAAGUGUUUACAGAGUCCAGCGCUGGACUCACUGAAGACAUGUACUCACAUCUGGAGUCUAGACAGCGUGGCUCUCUCAUCUGGGCUCACAGCUUCUUCACACCUCCUGCACUUCUUUCUGACUGCUUCUUUACCCCGGUUUUCACUUUACUAAAGCUUCUUCCCUACCGCCAUGUGCUUCUCUCUCUUGUUUUCUUCUUCCAUUUUUUUUUCUUUUUUCAAAUCACAUUGGGCUUAAGUUUUUCGAGAUAAUCCUGACAAACUUCUUAGAAACAGGUUUUCCCAACAAUGAGGAGAUCAUACAGGCAUAACGUCAUGGUAGACAAUGUCCUAGCAACGUUCUGAUAUAAGGUUUUCUACUGACCAGCUGCAUGACCUUAAAAAAAGUAUAUCACUGUGGCUUGGUUUUGAAAAAGUUAGACUACAUUUGGUGCAGUCCAAAUGUAUGUUUUUUUAAAAAGCAACAAAAUCCUUUCUUCAAACAAAAUUGUAUGAGGAACAUCAAUAUGGGGAAAAAUGAAGAAAAGCUUUUCUGAUUAACAUGAGGGAGGGGGCAGAAUAACUUUUUCACCUUCAAGAAUCCCUAAUGAAUGCUGGGAGCAAUAGAGCUCCUGGCAUGCACAAAUGGAAAAUCUUUGGCCUGGAUGAUCUUGGAAGUCUUUUCUAUUUGGUCCAACCAGUCUCCUCCAGGAAAUUUCUAAAUGACAUGAAUUCAUUGGAUAAGUGAUAAAAUCAGAUACAGAAAUAUGACCAAAUGUGCUAUUACGAAUGAAGAUUGUUAUAUACAUAUAACCUGCUCCGAGAAAGGACUUUGUGAAAGAGGAAAGUCAAGAGCUCAGGGUGAUCUUUGAGCUAACGAGGACGCUAGGUGACACCAAGCCCAAACACUCUCUGAGCAAGUGCCUGGUCCUGAGAGGUGAUCGAGGUCACACGACUAUAAGAUAUAGGCAGGAACUGAAAAAUCACAUCUCCAGACUCAUCACUUGGACUAGCUAUGUCUCAUGAUUUUCACAUAUAUUAUGCAGAAGAAGAGGAAAUGUUCAAAGAGGAUGCUUAGCUCAACUUAUUUCCUUUUUACAAUAAAUAAUAUUCCAUCAUCUGGAUGUACCACAGUUUAUUUAUCCAUUCACCUACUGAAGACCAUCUUGCUUCCAAGUUUUGACAAUAUGAGUAAAGCUGCUGUAAACAUGUGUGUGCAGGUUUUUGUGUAGAUAGAGUGUUCAGUUCAUUUUGGUAAAUACCAAGGAGCACCACUUCUGGGUUAUAUGAGACAGGAUCUCCCUAUAUUACCUAGGCUGGUAUAGAACUCCUGGGCUAAAGUGAUCCACCCACCUCGACCUCAGAAAGUGGCUUAUAAAUUUUGAGGCAACUCAAAUAUAGAUGAUUGUUUUCUCAAAUUUGCUAGCAUCUUUUUAUAAGAUACCUGUUUGGGCGUAACUAUUUGUAUUCAACUGGUAACAGCCUAACUACACUUUUGAUCCUAUGGGAAUAGACAGUCUGGAAUGUGGUGAUACUCUGUAGCUAUCAAAUCUGCAGGGCCUGGCCAUGGACUUGCAUAUCAUUGCUGAGAGAAGUCUCAAUAGCAGCUUAAGUACUAUUGAGGACCUCAAGAUGACAAAUUUUCUCCAUCUCUUCUAAGGCUGAAUUGUCAUAUGCAAUGUGCUUUAUGACUAUGCUGAGAGACGGUGAUAGAAGACUAAUACAUUGCAUCAUCAUCCACUCAGUGAGAAAUGGCUUUUGCAGAUUUGUGCUGAUGGAUCUAAUGUGUGGACUUCUGGAGGCUUUGAGGUGGAUAUACUUCAGUUGUGGAUAAAGAGGUGAAGAAGGACAUCUAUGGUGAUGCUCAGUAAUAUCUGCGAAGAACUGUGGAGACAGACAAAUAGUCAAAGGAGAAUACAGAUAACUUUCAGAAGAAGUGUGAACACCAAGCUGGGGAGCUUUUUUGAAGAGCAGGAUCUUUCUAUCAAAAUGGGAUAGUGGAAGAUUAAAGUAGUGAUGACUACAUAUAGGAAUACAAAGUUGACAGUGAGAGACGCAAGUCUGAUACUGCAAAAGAAAAAUGUAAGAAACUUAGGACUCAACUUUAUCAAUGAGUUUAACUAUAGAAAUGCACUAGGGACUGAAUGGUGUCCCCCCAAAAUUUAUAUGUCAAAGCUCUAAUCCUCAAUAUGAUGAUCUCCAGAGAUGGAACUUUGGGGAGGUAAUUGGGUUUAGAUGAGGUUAUGAGGAUGGGGUCCUCAUGAAGGGAUUAGUGCUCUUAUAAGGAAAGGUCAGAGAACGCUCACUUGUUCGCAUAUGCUCUUGUAUUCUCUCUCUCUCCUCAACCCCCACCAUAAAAGGGCACAACAAGAAGAUGGUUGUCUACGAGUCAGGAAGAGAACCUUCACAAGGAACCAAAUCAGUGGGCACCCUGAUCAUGAGACUGCCAGCCUCCAGAACUGUGAGAAAUAAAUGUCUGCUGUUGAAGCC